CAACGGUACGGGAUGGGCAUGCGUAACAUUAGCUAGUUGGUAGGGUAACGGCCUACCAAGGCCACGAUGUUUAGGGGUCCUGAGAGGGUGAUCGGCCACACUGGUACUGAGACACGGACCAGACUCCUACGGGAGGCAGCAGUGAGGAAUAUUGGUCAAUGGGCGCAAGCCUGAACCAGCCAUCCCGCGUGGAGGAAGACGGCGCUAUGCGUUGUAAACUUCUUUUCCAGAGGAAUAAAAACCCCCACGUAUCAAGAAAUGACGGUAGUGUAUGAAUAAGCAUCGGCUAACUCCGUGCCAGCAGCCGCGGUAAUACGGAGGAUGCAAGCGUUAUCCGGAUUCAUUGGGUUUAAAGGGUGCGUAGGCGGCUUUUUAAGUCAGUGGUGAAAUCCUGCCGCUUAACGGUAGAAUUGCCAUUGAUACUGAAAAGCUUGAGUACAUUUGAGGUAAGCGGAAUGUGUAGUGUAGCGGUGAAAUGCUUAGAUAUUACACAGAACACCAAUUGCGAAGGCAGCUUACUAAACUGAUACUGACGCUGAUGCACGAAAGCGUGGGGAGCGAACAGGAUUAGAUACCCUGGUAGUCCACGCCGUAAACGAUGCUCACUCGCUGUUUGCGAUACACAGCAAGCGGCCAAGCGAAAGCAUUAAGUGAACCACCUGGGGAGUACGAUCGCAAGGUUGAAACUCAAAGGAAUUGACGGGGGCCCGCACAAGCGGAGGAACAUGUGGUUUAAUUCGAUGAUACGCGAGGAACCUUACCUGGGCUCGAACGGUGCAGGAAUAUGGUAGUCAGCGCAGUCCUUCUUCGGACGAUCUACAAGGUGCUGCAUGGUUGUCGUCAGCUCGUGCCGUGAGGUGUCGGGUUAAGUCCCAUAACGAGCGCAACCCUUAUCGUUAGUUGCCAGCGGGUCAAGCCGGGGACUCUAGCGAGACUGCCACCGUAAGGUGUGAGGAAGGUGGGGAUGACGUCAAAUCAGCACGGCCCUUAUGUCCAGGGCUACACACGUGUUACAAUGGCCGAUACAAAGGGCAGCUACCAGGUGACUGGAUGCUAAUCUCAAAAACCAGUCCCAGUUCGGAUUGUAGGCUGCAACUCGCCUACAUGAAGUUGGAAUCGCUAGUAAUCGCAGGUCAGCAUACUGCGGUGAAUACGUUCCCGGGCCUUGUACACACCGCCCGUCACAUCA
rnacentral:rRNA from 1 species